UUUUUUUUUUUUUUGAGAUGGAGUCUUGCUGUGUCGCCCAGGCUGGAGUGCAGUGGUGCGAUCUCAGCUCACUGCAACCUCUGCCUCCUAGGUUCAAGCGAUUCUCCCGCCUCAGCCUCCCGAGUAACUGGGACUACAGGGCAAGGCCAUUGGGAUAUUCUGAAACUUGAAUAUUUUGUUUUGUGCAGAGAUAAAGACCUUUUCCAUGCACCCUCAUACACAGAAACCAAUUUUCUUUUUUAUACUCAAUCAUUUCUAGCGCAUGGCCUGGUUAGAGGCUGGUUUUUUCUCUUUUCCUUUGGUCCUUCAAAGGCUUGUAGUUUUGGCUAGUCCUUGUUCUUUGGAAAUACACAGUGCUGACCAGACAGCCUCCCCCUGUCCCCUCUAUGACCUCGCCCUCCACAAAUGGGAAAACCAGACUACUUGGGAGCACCGCCUGUGAAAUACCAACCUGAAGACACCGUUCAUUCAGGCAACGCACAAAACAGAAAAUGAAGGUGGAACAAGCACAGAUGUUCUUCAACUGUUUUUGUCUACACUCUUUCUCUUUUCCUCUACCAUGCUGAAGGCUGAAAGACAGGAAGAUGGUGCCAUCAGCAAAUAUUAUUCUUAAUUGAAAACUUGAAAUGUGUAUGUUUCUUACUAAUUUUUAAAAAUGUAUUCCUUGCCAGGGCAGGCAAGGUGGCUCACGCCUGUAAUCCCAGCACUUCAGGAGGCUGAGGUGGGCGGAUCACCUGAGGUCAGGAGUUUGAGACCAGCCUGAUGAAACCCUGUCUCUACUAAAAAUACAAGAAUUAGCCGGGCGUGGUGGCGCAUGCCUGUAGUAUCAGCUACUCAAGAGGCUGAGGUGAGAUUAUCGCUUGAACCCAGGAAACGGAGGUUGUAGUGAGCGGAGAUCGCGCCACUGCACUCCAGCCUGAGUGACAGAGUGAGAAUCCAUC
rnacentral:lncRNA from 1 species